rnacentral:rRNA from 1 species
UACGUAGGGGCUAGCGUUAUCCGGAUUUACUGGGCGUAAAGGGUGCGCAGGUUGUUUGAUAAGUCAGUGGUGAAAGUCUGUCGCUUAACGGUAGGAUUGCCAUUGAUACUGUUGGACUUGAAUAUGGAUGAGGUAGGCGGAAUGUGUAGUGUAGCGGUGAAAUGCAUAGAUAUUACACAGAACACCGAUUGCGAAGGCAGCUUACUAAUCCAUCAUUGACGCUGAGGCACGAAAGCGUGGGGAUCAAACAGGA